CCUACGGGUGGCAGCAGUGAGGAAUAUUGGUCAAUGGACGCAAGUCUGAACCAGCCAUGCCGCGUGCAGGAAGACGGCGCUAUGAGUUGUAAACUGCGUUUGUACGAGGGUAAAAGCAGAUACGUGUAUCUGUCUGAAAGUAACGUACGAAUAAGGAUCGGCUAACUCCGUGCCAGCAGCCGCGGUAAUACGGAGGAUUCAAGCGUUAUCCGGAUUUAUUGGGGUUAAAGGGUGCGUAGGCGGUCGGAUAAGUUAUAGGUGAAAUCCCGCGGCUCAACGUCGGAAUUUCCUCUGAUACGGUUCGUCUAGAGCUUAGUUGCGGUAGGCGGAAUGUCUGGUGUAGCGGU
rnacentral:rRNA from 1 species